AGAGUUUGAUCCUGGCUCAGAGCGAACGCUGGCGGCAGGCUUAACACAUGCAAGUCGAGCGCCCCGCAAGGGGAGCGGCAGACGGGUGAGUAACACGUGGGAACGUACCCUUUGGUUCGGAACAACCCAGGGAAACUUGGGCUAAUACCGGAUAAGUCCGUAAGGAGAAAGAUUUAUCGCCAAAGGAUCGGCCCGCGUCUGAUUAGCUAGUUGGUAGGGUAAUGGCCUACCAAGGCUACGAUCAGUAGCUGGUCUGAGAGGAUGAUCAGCCACAUUGGGACUGAGACACGGCCCAAACUCCUACGGGAGGCAGCAGUGGGGAAUAUUGGACAAUGGGCGCAAGCCUGAUCCAGCCAUGCCGCGUGAGUGAUGAAGGCCUUAGGGUUGUAAAGCUCUUUUAGCGGGGAAGAUAAUGACGGUACCCGCAGAAAAAGCCCCGGCUAACUUCGUGCCAGCAGCCGCGGUAAUAC
rnacentral:rRNA from 1 species